rnacentral:rRNA from 1 species
AACGAACGCUGGCGGCAUGCCUAACACAUGCAAGUCGAACGAGACCUUCGGGUCUAGUGGCGCACGGGUGCGUAACGCGUGGGAACCUGCCCUUAGGUUCGGAAUAACUCCCCGAAAGGGGUGCUAAUACCGGAUAAUGUCUUCGGACCAAAGAUUUAUCGCCUUUGGAUGGGCCCGCGUUGGAUUAGCUAGUUGGUAGGGUAAAAGCCUACCAAGGCGACGAUCCAUAGCUGGUCUGAGAGGAUGAUCAGCCACACUGGGACUGAGACACGGCCCAGUCUCCUACGGGAGGCAGCAGUGGGGAAUAUUGGACAAUGGGCGAAAGCCUGAUCCAGCAAUGCCGCGUGAGUGAUGAAGGCCUUAGGGUUGUAAAGCUCUUUUACCCGGGAUGAUAAUGACAGUACCGGGAGAAUAAGCUCCGGCUAACUCCGUA